rnacentral:lncRNA from 1 species
AGUCGACCCCGGCACACUGUUGCUAACUGAUGCACCUUCACAAGCCGACUCUAGUAGAUCACGAGUCAACCCCAGCAUAGUCUCAAAGGACAGACAAAAAGCUAAGAAAUUCAUCAUAUUGAUGAGUCAACUCAUGAAAUACUCGAGCCAACUCCAGUCUAACAAGAGUCAGCCCUAUAAAGAGAUGAGUUGACCCCUGAAUGGCCGUAGAGAAAAGAUAGAAAGCUGGAAAAUUUAUCGUAUUGGCAAGUUGACCCAUAGAAUUCACGAGC